GAGAAGACAUGUGGAGCUUCUAGAAGUGAGAAUGCCGGUAUGAGUAACGAAAGACAGGUGAGAAUCCUGUCCGCCGCAAGACUAAGGUUUCCUGGGGCAGGCUCGUCCGCCCAGGGUAAGUCGGGACCUAAGGCGAGGCCGAGAGGCGUAGUCGAUGGACAACAGGUUGAAAUUCCUGUACUGCACCGAAUCGUUAUGAGCGAUGGAGGGACGCAGGAGGCUAGCAGCGCGUGGUGCUGGAUACCACGUUCAAGCGUCAAGUCUGAGAGCGAGUCAAAUGCUUGCUCUCAUAAGGACAAGGCGUGAUGAGGAGCGAAAUUAAAGUAGCGAAGGCUGCGACGUCACACUGCCGAGAAAAGCUUCUAGCCAGAGACGGUGCACCCGUACCGCAAACCGACACAGGUAGUCGAGGAGAGUAUCCUCAGGUGAGCGAGAGAACUCUCGUUAAGGAACUCGGCAAAAUGGCCCCGUAACUUCGGGAGAAGGGGCGCUGGUCGCAAGAUCAGCCGCAGUGAAAAGGCCCAAGCAACUGUUUAUCAAAAACACAGGCAUCUGCAAAAUCGUAAGAUGAAGUAUAGGUGCUGACACCUGCCCGGUGCUGGAAGGUUAAGAGGAGAGCUUAGCGCAAGCGAAGGUUUGAAUUGAAGCCCCAGUAAACGGCGGCCGUAACUAUAACGGUCCUAAGGUAGCGAAAUUCCUUGUCGGGUAAGUUCCGACCUGCACGAAAGGUGUAAUGAUUUGGGCACUGUCUCAACGAGAGACUCGGUGAAAUUAUAAUACCCGUGAAGAUGCGGGUUACCCGCGACAGGACGGAAAGACCCCAUGGAGCUUUACUGCAGUUUAAUAUUGGGUAUCUGUCAAGCAUGUACAGGAUAGGUAGGAGCCGGAGAAGAUAGGACGCCAGUCUUAUCUGAGGCGCUGUUGGGAUACUACCCUUGCUUGACGGAUGCUCUAACUCAGGCCUGUGAUCCAGGCCGAGGACAGUGUUUGACGGGCAGUUUGACUGGGGCGGUCGCCUCCUAAAGUGUAACGGAGGCGCCCAAAGGUUCCCUCAGAAUGGUUGGAAAUCAUUCGCAGAGUGUAAAGGUAAAAGGGAGCUUGACUGCGAGAGAGACAACUCGAGCAGGUACGAAAGUAGGGCUUAGUGAUCUGGUGGUACCGCAUGGAAGGGCCAUCACUCAACGGAUAAAAGCUACCCUGGGGAUAACAGGCUUAUCUCCCCCAAGAGUUCACAUCGACGGGGAGGUUUGGCACCUCGAUGUCGGCUCGUCGCAUCCUGGGGCUGAAGUCGGUCCCAAGGGUUGGGCUGUUCGCCCAUUAAAGCGGCACGCGAGCUGGGUUCAGAACGUCGUGAGACAGUUCGGUCCCUAUCCGUCGUGGGCGUAGGAAAUUUGAGAGGAGCUGUCCUUAGUACGAGAGGACCGGGAUGGACGCACCGCUGGUGUACCAGUUGUCUUGCCAAAGGCAUCGCUGGGUAGCUAUGUGCGGACGGGAUAAGCGCUGAAAGCAUCUAAGUGCGAAGCCCCCCUCAAGAUGAGAUUUCCCAUUUCUUCAAGAAAGUAAGACACCUCAGAGACGAUGAGGUAGAUAGGCCGGGAGUGGAAGAGCCGUGAGGCUUGGAGCGGACCGGUACUAAUCAGUCGAGGACUUGACCAAAA
rnacentral:rRNA from 1 species